GGCCAAACGUGAAGAGGAUGAAGACGAAGAUGAAGAAGAAGUAGAAUGGGAAGAAAAGGCU
rnacentral:sRNA from 1 species